GCGGAUGUGGCGUAAUUGGUAGCCGCACCAGACUUAGGAUCUGGCGCUUCACGGCGUGGGGGUUCGAGUCCCAAAGAAUUAAUUGUA
rnacentral:tRNA from 1 species